CCACAAUACGCGAAAGCGUGAUGGGGGGAUUCCGCGUGCUUACAUUUUAUGUAAGCUUUUGCCAAGAGUUCACAUCUUGGAGAAUAAGUGGUGGGUAAGACCGGUGCCAGCAGCCGCGGUAACCCCGGCGCCACGAGUGGCAAUCUUAUAUUGGGCCUAAAGCAUUCGUAGCAGGUUUGAAAAAUCCUUUGUGAAAUCGUUGAACUCAAUACAACGGCGUGCAGGGGACACUUUCAGACUAGAGACUGGGAGGAGUUGGGGGGAUGCCUAGGGGAACGGUUAAAUGUGAUAAUCCUAGGUAGACCACCUGUGGCGAAGGCGCCCAACUAGAACAGUUCUGACUGUGAGGGAUGAAAGCUAGGGGAGCGAUCCGG
rnacentral:rRNA from 1 species